UCAGGGUGUGAUGCGUCCACUCAAACUCAGCCGAUCGCCUCUGACUGCCUGCUGUGAUUGGCUGGGCCGGCUGUGUGAGGAGCUACACAGACAGAGGAAGAGGCUCCAGGUGUCUGGUCUCCAGCGCAGAGGAAGACGAAAAGGAGCAGAGAGCUGAGGUCCACCUGAGCACCAAACUCCUGCAGGACCUCCUGGACCUCUCACCUCCUCAGUCUCUUCAGGAUCAUGUCUUCAUCUCUCAGCACAUCUGAGCCAUCAGCACUCAAACGUUUCUGUUUGUGGCUCCAUCGCUGCGGCCCCCCUCCUCCUCCUCCUCCUCCUCUUCCUCUCCCCGUCAGCUGUGGCAGCCCCCCCUCUCUGUCAGCGUCACGCCGUCUCCCCCUGCUGGUUGUCCUGCUGCUCUGCAGUCUGCUGCUGAUGGUGCUGCUGUUGCUGUGGAACUACCACUGUUUGUUCAUCUCCGGCCUCUGCUGCCCCCCGGGGGAGGAUUACGAGGAAGGGGGAGAUGUGGGGGAGAUGGGGUCGUGACCUGGUCACACUUGGAGACCUGGGAAGCUGGUCUGACUUAUCCAGUCCUCUUCUGUCUGCUGUGCUAAAUCAACACUGUGAAACAAGUUAUUAAUAAUAAUUAAAAAACAAACACAUCAAA